rnacentral:lncRNA from 1 species
UACCUUAGAUAGCAAAUGUUAAAUGUGUCUUUCCUCUCUGCCACUUUCUCUGAAUUCUCAGCAGCUUCCACUAGGAUUUUGAAACUGUAUUCCUGUACCCAAAGACCUCUAGGCCUCACUGGGUUUCUCUCCACUCUCCUGCUAAGGUCUCUCAGGCUAGGGAUGGAGUCACAGGAUUCACCUAUAAACGCUUGGUAUCCUUGGGAUGUCCUGUAAGGAUGCAUCCAGAGCUCCUGAUUUCAGUUGUGUUUGUUGGCAAAGAAUGAAAGCACGGAAGCCCUUUGGAAGAUGAGCCAUCAGGCUGUGGUGAGAGAGGCUCCCUGUCUGAAGUCUGUAUCCUGACUGACCAGGGUGCCCCCAGAAGGGACAGAUAGCAUGCAACUGUUUAAAGCUCCAGAAGGUUCUGCAAACCACAUCUGGUCUGCUAAUGCUUGGGGUAAAAGUU